rnacentral:rRNA from 1 species
UACGUAGGCAGCGAGCGUUGUUCGGAGUUACUGGGCGUAAAGCGCGUGUAGGCUGACCGGAAAGUCGGGCGUGAAAGCCCUGGGCUCAACCCAGGAACUGCACUCGAAACUCCCGGUCUAGAGUGGUGGAGAGGGAAGUGGAAUUCCUGGUGUAGAGGUGAAAUUCGUAGAUAUCAGGAGGAACACCAGUGGCGAAGGCGGCUUCCUGGACACCAACUGACGCUGAGACGCGAAAGCGUGGGGAGCAAACAGG